GAGGACCCGUGCUGUGUUGAACGCCGUGGGAACUAAUCCUGGCGCGACAGGUGGGUCAACUUACGGUUUGAGAGUCCCUGAGACACCAAAUGCGAUGCUGACCGGAGAGAAAAGCCACUGGAUUAACGGAAAUCCCUGCUGCAGGAUUCCUGGACACAGCUUGGAGUAGGAGACCUCAUGGAGCAAAGGUGAAACCAAAAUGGC